GCCAGUGUGGUGCAGUGGUUUGAGUAUUGGACUACAACCCUGGAGACCAGGGUUUGAAUCCUUGCUCAGACA